CGAGUGCUGUUAAAUCGUGAAAAAUGCAUUAAAAUGAAAUGUCUUUUGUUCCCCGUUUCCGGUUCGAACCCCCUUCCUCUGAGCUCACCCCCUUCGCACCUCUGAUGCCUCCAACGCCGGGCUGUUUCGACCCAUGGUGAAGGCCGUCGCCAGGCAGUCCGACAGCGCUGCUGCUCCUCCUCCUCCUCUUCCAUCAAAGAGGAAGCACAGGGGGGCGCCACGCUUCAAGUCUCACCUGAGGCAGGACACCCGGGUGCUGGAGGAGCAAAAGGGGAAGCCCCAAUGCCAGACGGGGGACCCCUGCCCCACGUGCGCCCAACCCAGGACCCUGGACACGGGGCACGCGCUCUACAAGAGCAGCGUGUACUGCGAGUCGGAGGCGGGCCCUGGGUGCCUCACCGCUCGUGAGUGGCUCAUCAGCCAACAGGCCCUGGAGGACGCCGGGAAGGUGCCCAGGACCACCCUGUGGAACAUCGCCCGCAGGAAGGAGGGGCAGGUCGGCGGCUCCUCUUCCCCUGGACGCAAACCGCACUAGCUGCAGAUCUACCAGCGGUGCCUCCAGCCGGCGCAGAAAGACUUUGGCCAUAGUCGGUAAGAGGGGGAGAGUUUCUGCUCCCUCUACGUCGGCAAAGGCGUAGACCUGUGGCUGGCCGAGAGGAGGGACCGCAAGAGGCGAAAGCCAAAGAGGAAGCAGAGGAAGCAGCGGGAGGAGAGGAGGGUGAAGGGCCCGGCGUCAGACCUUGGAGAGGAACACAGCCCCGGCAGAGUGUGAGGCUGCUCCUCCCCGGGAACCCCCCUCCUGUGUUGUGCUUGUUGUUAUUUAAUAAAUCUAUUUGUAUUACACACGCUUGUCCCUUCUUUUUAGUUUAAGCAACAAGUCCACAACAACAAUGAUAACAAAUGUUUUGUUUAGUUGAAUAAUAAAAAAGCAAUACAUUAAAAGCGUCUCGAAAUAAAGCCAUUCUUUAAGAAACAAUCACAUUGAAAACAAAGCCUUCUUUAAUAAGCAAUACAUUGAAUAUAAAGCCAUUCUUUAAUAAACAAAUGCAUUGAAAAUAAAGCCUUCUUUGAUAAACAAGCGAUGUAUUGCAAUAACGGACACAGGUUGAAUUAGACAAACGCUUGUUUAACGGACACAGGUUGAAUUAGACAAUGCUUGUUUAUAACGGCACCGGUCCCUCGACAUGGGCGUUUCCACCCGUGUCCCGACCUGACCCUGUGCGUUCCGUUUCGUUCCGGUCGUUCCGAUUUCGGCCUCUGCUUAAAGCCGACGAUGCGUUCCAAUUUCGACCCCGAACCGUCGGUUGGACCGGACGAAUUCCCGGUCCGAGGUGCCCGCCGGGACCGGGACGGGACAGAGGUGCGGUGGCCGGAAGGGGGCGCCAAAGGGGACCGUCCUGCGGCUGCGCCGCGGGCUGGACCCCGAUAGUGAAGAACGGUAACCUUCCUAUAACGUGGCUAAGAAACGUUCUUCUCUUUAUUUAUCCGACAGAAAAGAGGAAAAAAACCCACGUCACUCGUCGCGUCGAUAAAGAACUUCUUUUUUUUUACAACCCAGCAAUCAGCGAACGACAACAGAGACACCCAAAGCGUCGGAUCGAAUCCCCGUGAAAUCAACGCUUUUGACCGGCCGUUCUCGUCGGAAAUGAAGACGAGAACCCUUUGUUAUGUUAUAAUUAUUAUUACAUUACAAUAUGCAAAAUAUGACAGACCAAAAGCACUUAUUGUGAAUUGUAUUUUCUUGUCUUGUUACUUAUAGACCUGAAUUGCAUCCUUGUCCAAUAGGUGGCGCUCUCGAAUAAUGUCUGUAGAGUGUGGUGUGGGGAGGGGGGUCUUGACCUUGGUAACCGUUUUGUACUUAUUUAGAAUGAGAUCGUAUUUACUUAACGGUUGCAAAGUUAUACUUUAUGUCCAAUAUGGGGCGCUCUCGGAUAAUGUUUGUAGAGUGUGGUGUGGGGAGGGUGGCCUUGACCUUGGUGACCAUUUUGUAUUUGUUUAGAAUGAUAUUGUUACGUAUUUUAAGCACAUAAGCUGCCCCCACAUAGCCGCUGGGAAGCAGGUUCGAACAGACAAGCUGCAUAACCCUCACAUAGCCACUAGGAAGCAGGAUCGAACACAUAAGCUGCAAUAACUACUCCGGCCACAGAUGGCAGCACCUUUAGACAAGCGUGGAGGGAGGAACUAUUACGUCGCACCGGCCACGCCCACUUGACCCUAUCAAGCUCGACAGAGAGAUUGGAGUGCAGAGCUGUUAGCCAGACCCGCAGAGAGCCUGGGGCUCGAAGUAGCUCUACGGUAUUUCUCUCACACGCGUUAGAUACAAUUCCCUCCCUUCUGCUUCAUAGUUACCAUACCAAAAUGAACCAACGAAGACGGAGGACUACUCUGAGUUACCUUACCAAAAUGAACCAACGAAGCAUGUUGACGGAGGACUACUCUAAGAAGCAGUCCCAUCAGAAGACCAAAGUGCGGUUACGGUAAUCAAGGUUCUGACUAGAGAAGUCAUGCCAAGGUUUGGAAUUCCGUCACAAAUUAGCUCAGGCAAUAGGGCAGCGUUUAUUCAGAAAACACUCAAACAAUUGAUUUAACAUCUGCAUGUCAAACAAAGAUUAGGCUGUGUCUACAUUCCUCAAACCACAAGGUAUGGUGGAGAGAGGAAUCGGACGCUUAAGACAAAGAUUAACAAAAUUAAAUUAGAGUACUAAAUUAAAGGACUAAUGCACUACGACUGACACUAAUGAGUUAUCGCAUGAAAACUAACAGAACGACGCAUCUAACCCCGCAUGAAAUGUUUAGGGGUCGACCCAUGCCUUCACCUGUCAUUCGAGGGCCUCACAAAGGACCUCCAUUGGAACAAUUGGAAACUGAAUUAAGACGCUAUAUGGGACAACUAACUGGCAUACACAGGCUUAUUUUUCAACAGGAGAAAGACAGAGUUCCAGAGUAGGAGAAGGAGCCACCAAGGGGGGUGGAGCCAGGUGACCAAGUGUACCUCAGGAUGUUCAGGAGAAAGUGGAACGAGCCCAGGAGAGAAGGACCAUACAAAGUCACCAACGCAACACCAACAGCCAUCCAAGUGGAAGGAAGGGCCACGUGGUAUCAUCUCAACCACUGCACAAAAGCCGCUCAACCUAAAGCCAGGGAUGAGCGUGAGGAGGAGGAGCCAGACGCAGACACACCUGGGGCUGACCAGCUGCCCCAGGACCAGAUCCAGUCGAGCCAAGAGAUACAGCAACAUGAUGAUGCUGAAAACGGGGAGCCUGUUCCUGAUCCUUUACGGGUUGUGCUAGAUUCCGCUGGCACAAGGACAGACCCCGAGGAGGAAUGAAACCAUGGAGACAACACAGACCUGGAAGAGCCAGGAAUCAGGCUUCCUUCAGUAACAGCCCCUAAGAGAAAGACAGGACAAUCCGGCCCCAACUCACUCAGGAAUAGUCAACAAGAAAGGGAAAAUAGUCCUAUAUGCUCAGAUACCACCGCAGAACCAAGUUAAUGAAUUUGUGUUUUCUGUUAUGUCGGAUAACCAACCGUUAUGUGCAUUAACCUUCAGCCAGUCUGGCAUAGAGGAGUCGGGUGACUGGGAGAGGACGCUCUAUGGGGAGAUAGAUUGGAGUGAAACUAGAGAGGAGACCGGAAUGUGAGAAUCAGACAUUAGAAGGAGGUCCUAUUUUCAUAACUGGUUACCUCACCAUGGGAACCACAACCAUUUCAGACAGUGUGAACAAAUGGACAUUGGACUAAUGGGUUCCAGGGCAUGGUGGCUGCGAACAGAAGCAACUACGGUGCCCAAACCCCCCACGUUAUAUAGUAUACCAGUACAUGACGAUAAUCAGAACUAUCUAAAUCCAUGCAAGCUUGUUGACAAUUUUAGUUUUUAAUUUCUAUUAUUUACUUAUUUUUUGAAAUAUCAUUUUUGAGUUUCAUAUUUUUAUGUCAUAUAUUCUGAAAUGCUAAUUUUCAAUGCAUGCUGAAAAUACUGUGUUAUGUGUGAAUUCUAGUUAGACAUGUUAGACAUUUGAUAGAUCUUUUUUGCCUUAAACCAGGUUGAGACUCCUGAACAUGUUUAAAGGUUUUUUAACGAUGAUCAAAUGUAGUGCAAAAUAUGACCCAAACAACUGUUUUGUUUUUGUUGUGAUCUUAGUAGUCACAAAAGGGGAUAUUUGUGGUAGAAAUGAGUGAGUAUAUUCUAUGGUAAACCAUGAUUAUUAAUAGGUUUAAUAUUUUAAAUGGUGGAAAGCACAUGAUGCUUGCAGAGUCUGGGUUCAGAGCAGAUGGAGCACAGGAAUGUCCAGGGAACUGCGGGGUCAAGUCAUGUUGACCUCAGCCUUUCAGCCUUGGGUCAUCUUGGCUAACGAGGUCAAUCCAUGCGGACCUCAGGCCAGGGCGCGGUUGAUAGCAUGCUGAGACGAAGAUUGACUGGGCGGAAACCCCAUUGGGACUCCAUUGUAACAAAGAAAUUCCUGUAUGUGUAUAAAGUGAAGCUGGAGUCGAUGUUCGAGCAGUGACUCUAUAGACCUACUCAGGCUGUUGUCGUUGUUGUUUUUCUUCACGAUGAAGUCUUUUUUCAAUUCUUGCUCCGGACCCCUCGAUUUAUUUUACACUCUCUCUUAAAUUAGUCUAAGUGUUUUAAAUCUCGAUUAAUCUUCGACAAAGGAUCUCCAGGGUACCAUACUGCACAGGGACGUGCGGCGCCUCAUCAUCCUCAUCCCAGCAGAGGAUCAAGUCGGCGGGCACCAGCUCGCCUGAGAAGUGCGAUCUUUCCGGGUCGCACGACGCAAAGAUCGAGUGGGAGGUGUUGCGGCGAUCUACGGGGAAGUCUGCCUGCGAGUGGGUGCAUCUGAUGGCCUUACUGCGCAUGCGUGCAACAGCGGCGAUCUACCGCGGAAGUCUGCCCGCGAGUGGGUGCACGUCAUGGCCUUACCGCGCAUGCGCACAUCAGCGAGCGAACAGGUGGAUGCAAUUAGUCUAAAUGAGCAGCGCGUGCCAGAGACAAGAGAAGAGACGUGUGCUUGUUCAUUUGUUUGCAACGCGGCAGCAGAAGGAAGAGCUCUCGGACAAGCACAGAGUUAAAACCCAUGGGAAGAGGGAAAAAGAUCAAAGAGGCUACCGGUAAGCUCAGGUCUCUUUACUGGACUGAGUUGUGCUAAUUUAAAUGCUUGACAGGUUUAAUUUAAAAGUAGAAAUGGCUUUCUGGCGUUCAAUGCAUUAUUUUCUGUUUGAAUACUUUUUGCCUAAUUUAAUCUACUUACCUUUUGCCUGAUUUAAUGUACCUUUGUGUUUGAUGGGAAACAUUGAUUUAAUUUGCAUUGUCCUAUCUGUGUAUGUUUGAAGGUUUUUCACCUCAUCAUAUUCAUCGUGCUGGUCAAUACUGGUCAAAUAAAAUGAAGAUUGAGUGAAAUCCUGUGUCUGGUCAAGUCCUUCCCGUUUCAAGUGUGGGAAGCCAUGGUGUUAGAAAUACUUGCCAGUGUGUGUGUUUGUGUCCAACUGGAAAAACAAGAACAAAGUGAAGGAAGUGUUA
ensembl:lncRNA